ACGGAAGGCAGCAGUGAGGAAUAUUGGUCAAUGGGCGGAAGCCUGAACCAGCCAAGUCGCGUGAAGGAUGAAGGUUCUGUGGAUUGUAAACUUCUUUUGCACGAGGGUAAAGUGAGGUACGUGUACCUUAUUGCAAGUAUCGUGUGAAUAAGCAUCGGCUAACUCCGUGCCAGCAGCCGCGGUAAUACGGAGGAUGCGAGCGUUAUCCGGAUUUAUUGGGUUUAAAGGGUGCGUAGGCGGGAUGUUAAGUCAGCGGUGAAAGUUUGCGGCUCAACCGUAAAAUUGCCGUUGAAACUGGCGUUCUUGAGUGUAAACGAGGUAGGCGGAAUGUGACGUGUAGCGGUGAAAUGCUUAGAUAUGUCACAGAACCCCGAUUGCGAAGGCAGCUUACCAGCAUACAACUGACGCUGAGGCACGAAAGCGCGGGUAUCAAACAGGAUUAGAUACCCUGGUA
rnacentral:rRNA from 1 species